rnacentral:rRNA from 1 species
UAUGAAAGGGUUAACGAGGAAGGUGCUGUGUCUAAAAACUUAGUUUAAACUAACUUAAAGGUGAAGAGGCCUUUAUAAGAAAGAAGGACGACAAGACCCUAUGAAGUUUUAUCUUAUUAGGGAUUUGAAAGAUCCUUAUACGAUUUUGAUGGGAGAUCAGUAAAAAUAAGUCUUUUACCAUUAUUUUUAUCUUACAAGUGUUUCCUAAUUUUAUAUGUGUGACUAGCUACUCUAGGGAUAACAGCGCAAUUUCUCCCGAAAGAUGGUAUUGGAGGGGAAGAUUGCGACCUCGAUGUUGGC